rnacentral:rRNA from 1 species
UACGUAGGGUGCGAGCGUUAAUCGGAAUUACUGGGCGUAAAGCGUGCGCAGGCGGCUUUGCAAGACAGAUGUGAAAUCCCCGGGCUCAACCUGGGAACUGCAUUUGUGACUGCAAGGCUAGAGUACGGCAGAGGGGGAUGGAAUUCCGCGUGUAGCAGUGAAAAGCGUAGAUAUGCGGAGGAACACCAAUGGCGAAGGCGAUCCCCUGGGCCUGUACUGACGCUCAUGCACGAAAGCGUGGGGAGCAAACAGG